UACGUAGGGUGCGAGCGUUAAUCGGAAUUACUGGGCGUAAAGCGUGCGCAGGCGGUUCGUUGUGUCGGUGGUGAAAGCCCCGGGCUUAACCUGGGAAUGGCCAUGGAAACUGGCGAACUGGAGUGUGGCAGAGGGGGGUGGAAUUCCGCGUGUAGCAGUGAAAUGCGUAGAGAUGCGGAGGAACUCCGAUUGCGUAGGCAGCUAACUAGGCUGUGACUGACGCUGAGGCACGAAAGCGUGGGGAGCGAACAGG
rnacentral:rRNA from 1 species